rnacentral:rRNA from 1 species
UACGUAGGGUGCGAGCGUUGUCCGGAAUUACUGGGCGUAAAGGGCGCGUAGGCGGUCAGCACAAGUCAGUUGUGAAAUCUCCGGGCUUAACUCGGAAAGGUCAACUGAUACUGUGCGACUAGAGUGCGGAAGGGGCAACUGGAAUUCUCGGUGUAGCGGUGAAAUGCGUAGAUAUCGAGAGGAACACCUGCGGCGAAGGCGGGUUGCUGGGCCGACACUGACGCUGAUGCGCGAAAGCCAGGGGAGCGAACGGG